GGGAUUUUGACAGACCUAUCCGCUAAAGAGAGGGUCAUGGUUGUGGGCUUUAAUCCUCCUAGUCCCAGUUGCUUAUACACAGAGUAUGGGAGCAAAUUCACACUUGCUCCCAAAUCUAAUAAAGCUUUUUCCACAUGUGUCCCUCCAAUGUUGACUGAUAUGGUGGGACAUCCCGGAUCUUUAUACUUAACUGGGGACUUACUCUGAAUGAUAGCACUCACUUGCUCAGUGAGGAAUGCAUUCUUUGUCACCUGUAAACCUCUCUUG
rnacentral:lncRNA from 1 species